rnacentral:rRNA from 1 species
CACGUAGGGGGCAAGCGUUGUCCGGAUUCAUUGGGCGUAAAGAGCUCGUAGGCGGUUCGAUAAGUCGGGUGUGAAACCUCCAGGCUCAACCUGGAGACGCCACCCGAUACUGUCGUGACUAGAGUCCAGUAGGGGAGCGUGGAAUUCCUGGUGUAGCGGUGAAAUGCGCAGAUAUCAGGAGGAACACCAGCGGCGAAGGCGGGUCUCUGGGCCGAUACUGACGCUGAGGAGCGAAAGCGUGGGGAGCGAACAGG